UGGAAGAAUGGUUAAGAGUUGGGAUGUGUGUUGCCACUUGUUAUAAUGAUUCAUUGCAAAGGCAUUGCCUGAUUCACAAACUUGAAAGCAGGGGUGGGUGAUGUGUGGGCCUCUGUAUUGUUGGAGUGCUCUUGGCCACACAACUCUCAUAGUCAUAGCCAAAGGUGAGAAAUCAUAAGAAUGGCAGUCCAGCGACACCUGGAAAGCUCCAUAUUCCCUCUUCUUGAAAAAAUCUUAAAAUACCCACCUGCUGCUCUGCAGAUUUAUUUUACGAAGUUUUUUAAAUGGCUGGAAUCCUGUUGAUAACAUACAGUGGUACAAGGAUCCUUAUAUGCCCAUCAUUCAACUUUUUGGCUUGCGGCACAAUGGACAUAGUCUAUUCCUGGUUGUGCAAGAUGAAUUCCGCUGACGUAACUAUUGGGGGUGCUACAUUGAAUUAAAGCAGAUCAUAGGGAAAUGUGAAAUGAUCUUUGUUUCUGUGAUUCUUGACAACAUGAAAUACACUUCAGACAGCACAAGUAUUAUAGCUAUGAUCUUCCUGUACCCCCAAAAGGAUUUUGAAAUACAGAAAAAAGAAAGAAAGAUGGAACAAAGCAGAAAGCUAAACUCAAGAAGAAAAUUCUAUGGAUGCCAGUUUUUGUAUGUUUACUUGCACGUAAACCCUGCAAUCGUUGAGAACAGAAAGGAAAGCUAAUCUUCAACAAAUACAGGAUCCAUAUUACCUGUGUUCACCAGGAUUCCAGAAAUAUAAAUGCCUACACAAUGACUUUUAGAGUUAUGUUCUGUGAAUAUUCUUAGGUAAGUGCUAACAAUAUAAAAUUAUUUCCAGGUGGAAUACAAUAAACUAUAAGGAAGGCAAUAAUACACGGAAUAAAAUAGUUCUUUGAAAAAGCAGAAUCUAUAUCACACUCAAUAAUGAGCGCAACUUCAUGGAAUCCUUUAUUGAUGCUGAAGAGCCCUCUUGUGGUUGUAGGAAAUAUAUUUCCUUCAGUGUUCAUUGCUAUCAUUACAUCAUUUUAAAUGUAUCAAUUUUUAUUGUUUUUUAGAAGUGCUAUAUACAGGGAAAGCAAGGAAAACAUGCAAAAGGGGAUAGUAAUAUUAGAGUGUCAGGAAAAUAGUGGUGGGAAAGGAGGAGAAAGAUGGUAGAGAAAAGAAAAAAAAGGAAAAAUGGUUGACUUCCCAUUUUCCUCUUGAGGAGUUGCAUUUCAGAGUACAGUAGAAUCUCACUUAUCCAACAUUCGCUUAUCCAACGUUCUGGAUUAUCCAAGGCAUAUUUGUAGUCAAUGUUUUCAAUAUAUCGUGAUAUUUUGGUGCUAAAUUCGUAAAUAAGGUAAUUACAACAAUACAUUACUGUGUAUUGAACUACUUUUUCUGUCAAAUUUGUUGUAUAACAUGAUGUUUUGGUGCUUAAUUUGUAAAAUCAUAACCUAAUUUGAUGUUUAAUAGGCUUUUCCUUAAUCCCUCAUUAUCCAACAUUUUUGCUUAUCCAACAUUCUGCCGGCCUGAUUAUGUUGGAUAAGUGAGACUCUACUGUAUAUUCCAUUGUCCAUUGUAUCUUUUGAUUAACCUUCUUGUAGUUUUAAAGUUUCUCAUACAUCAGAUAUGUCUAUUGUACGUCCUUCUUUAAAAAUAAAAUCUCUAAAGCCUGACCAAUCUGUUUUUUCUUUUGUGUCUCGUAGUUUCUGUGACAAACUGUCCAUUUGUAUUGUAUCGAAUAAUUUUAUAAUCCAUUCAUCAGUGGAUCUUUGUUUCCAGACUUUGGCGAGGACUAAUCUUGCCAAAGUCCCAAUUUAAAAAAAAGCAUAUUAUCUUGAUUUUUGUUCAGUUUUACGUUUGUUAUGCCCAACAGAUAUAUUUCAGGUAAUAGCGGAAAAUUUAUUUGUAGUAUUUUUGUGUCUAUGUAUAUUAUUCCAAUAUUUUUAAAAAUUUUUUACAUUCCCACCAUUCAUGAAAUUAAUCAUUUUGAUUAAGUGUGAUUAUAGAAUGACUUGGAGAGACUAGAGCACUGGACUAGGACACUGGGGACACCAGGUUUGAAUCUCUGCUCUGCUAUGGAAACCCAUUGGGUGACCUUGAGCAAGUCACACUCCCUCAGCCAUGGAGGAAGGAAAGCCAAAUCUUCUCUGAACAAAAUUUGCCA